rnacentral:rRNA from 1 species
CCUACGGGUGGCAGCAGUCGAGAAUCAUUCACAAUGGGGGAAACCCUGAUGGUGCGACGCCGCGUGGGGGAAUGAAGGUCUUCGGAUUGUAAACCCCUGUCAUGUGGGAGCAAAUGAAAAAGAUAGUACCACAAGAGGAAGAGACGGCUAACUCUGUGCCAGCAGCCGCGGUAAUACAGAGGUCUCAAGCGUUGUUCGGAAUCACUGGGCGUAAAGUGUGCGUAGGCUGUUUCGUAAGGCGUGUGUGAAAGGCGCGGGCUCAACCCGCGGACGGCACAUGAUACUGCGAGACUAGAGUAAUGGAGGGGGAACCGGAAUUCUCGGUGUAGCAGUGAAAUGCGUAGAUAUCGAGAGGAACACUCGUGGCGAAGGCGGGUUCCUGGACAUUAACUGACGCUGAGGCACGAAGGCCAGGGGAGCGAAAGGGAUUAGAUACCCUGGUAGUC